rnacentral:rRNA from 1 species
UACGUAGGGGGCAAGCGUUGUCCGGAUUCAUUGGGCGUAAAGAGCGUGUAGGCGGCCAGGUAGGUCGGUUGUGAAAACUGGAGGCUCAACCUUCAGAGGUCGACCGAAACCAUCUGGCUAGAGUCCGGGAGAGGAGAGUGGAAUUUCCGGUGUAGCGGUGAAAUGCGUAGAUAUCGGAAGGAACAUCAGUGGCGAAAGCAGCUUCCUGGAGCAGAACUGACGAUCAGGCUCGAAAGCGUGGGGAGCAAACAGG